GCAUUGAGAUAGCUUAGUUGGCAGAGCACAAGACUCUUAAUCUCAAGGUGGCGGGUUCAAGCCCCACGUUGGGCA